rnacentral:rRNA from 1 species
GACGAACGCUGGCGGCGUGCCUAAUACAUGCAAGUAGAACGCUGAAGGAGGAGCUUGCUUCUCUGGAUGAGUUGCGAACGGGUGAGUAACGCGUAGGUAACCUGCCUGGUAGCGGGGGAUAACUAUUGGAAACGAUAGCUAAUACCGCAUAAGAGUAGAUGUCGCAUGACAUUUGCUUAAAAGUUGCAAUUGCAUCACUACCAGAUGGACCUGCGUUGUAUUAGCUAGUUGGUGAGGUAACGGCUCACCAAGGCAACGAUACAUAGCCGACCUGAGAGGGUGAUCGGCCACACUGGGACUGAGACACGGCCCAGACCCCUACGGGAGGCAGCAGUAGGGAAUCUUCGGCAAUGGACGGAAGUCUGACCGAGCAACGCCGCGGGAGUGAAGAAGGUUUUCGGAUCGUAAAGCUCUGUUGUAAGAGAAGAACGAGUGUGAGAGUGGAAAGUUCACACUGUGACGGUAUCUUAACAGAAAGGGACGGCUAACUACGUG